rnacentral:lncRNA from 1 species
UAAAACUUGGACAUUUUUAACAGGGAAAGUAUGUAUAUAGCUGGGCUGGAAAGAGCAGCAAUAAAGAUUGGUCCAAGAAACGUUCUUGGGACAACUCCAGGAAAUUCAUGGUGGUCAUACUUAUCCAAGUCCAGUUGGUGGUACACAACAUCAUGGAUAGCCUGUAGGUUAAAGCUUUCUUCCACUUUUGUAAAUGGGCAGACAGUUAAAUGAACAAAGGCCACAACAAUAAUCAACAACAAUAAUGGGAAUGACCGUCCACUUGAGCUCCUCUUCUGAGCCAUCUUGUGUACAAAAUUUGUGUAUGUUCACCUCUACCCUCAGCGCCGCGCCCUGUCGCGCUUUGUCCCGUCCCGCCUCACGCUCACCCCCCACCCCCCGGGUCUCCACGUGGCCGCCCCGCAGAGGGCGCCGGCAGGACGGGACGAG